AACGCGAAGAACCUUACCAGGUCUUGACAUCGAGUGACGAGUCUAGAGAUAGGCUUUUCCUUCGGGACACGAAGACAGGUGGUGCAUGGUUGUCGUCAGCUCGUGUCGUGAAAUGUUGGGUUAAGUCCCGCAACGAGCGCAACCCUUGCCAUUAGUUGCUACGCAAGAGCACUCUAAUGGGACCGCUACCGACAAGGUGGAGGAAGGUGGGGACGACGUCAAAUCAUCAUGCCCCUUAUGACCUGGGCUACACACGUAAUACAAUGGCCGUCAACAGAGGGAAGCAAUAUCGCGAGAUGGAGCAAACCCCCAAAAACGGUCUCAGUUCGGAUCGCAGGCUGCAACCCGCCUGCGUGAAGUUGGAAUUGCUAGUAAUCGCGGAUCAGCAUGCCGCGGUGAAUACGUUCCCGGGUCUUGUACACACCG
rnacentral:rRNA from 1 species